rnacentral:rRNA from 1 species
UACGUAGGCAGCGAGCGUUGUUCGGAGUUACUGGGCGUAAAGCGUGCGUAGGCGGUUUUGUAAGUUUGGUGUGAAAUCUCCCGCUCAACUGGGAGGGUGCGCCGAAAACUGCAAGGCUGGAGUGUGGGAGAGGUAGGCGGAAUUCCUGGUGUAGCGGUGAAAUGCGUAGAUAUCAGGAGGAACACCUGUGGUGUAGACGGCUUACUGGACCAUGACUGACGCUGAGGCACGAAAGCGUGGGGAGCAAACAGG